GAUUCUACACAUCUUCCCUUCUCAUUCAAUGAUUCAUUUCACGUUAACGCAUCCCGUCUUCGACAACGAUUUCGUUACACAGAUGAUUCCUCUAAUUCACCGUCCCUUCAAAACUUAUGGCCUUUAAUUUCAAUCUCCUCUCCCUCAAACCAACCAUUAUUCUUCUUCUUCUUAUCCAUCCCUCACUUUCUACCGCGGUGGCAUAUUUCGCUGUUGAGGAUGACACAGGUUGCGUCCCCUGCAUCCUCUGACUCAACCACCUCUCACACCGUCGGAGACCUCAGGAUCUGCACCUCAUCGUCGAUGCCGCCGCAAGCUACACCACGUUGGUGAAGUUAGGGCUGUUGUCUGUGAUCCGUGUGACCCGGCUCUGAAUGGCCACCUAAUUUGAUGGGCAUCUAUAAAAUCAUUUUUCUUCUUCCUUUCAUCUUAACGUUGACCAUGUAGACAAUUUAAUUUGUAUUACAGUAACCCUUUCGUCGGGGUUUUCGAUCUUCCUUUCUUAUGAACACCGUAAUCUCACAAACCGCCAGGGUUUUGGGACUUGCAGGGUGAUAGUAGAGAUAGAAACUUAGAAGGGAGUCGCACAACUAUGUGGGCAUAAGAGAAAGGCGUGCCAUGAAGGGGAAUGAGAAUGCGACAGAGGACUUCAAAGCUCAUUUGAGAUUGAGAAGACAGAGGUUAAAAAUUUCAAUAUUUUUUAACUUUGAACGGUUAAAAAGAACCUUAUGGCAAAAUCUUUUUUAUGAAUCUUGAUCUCAAUUAUCCCUUUCUUCCAUUUCUUCUUCUUAAUCGACCUUACUAUUACAUUUAUGGUCUCAUCUUCUAUUUUUUGUUGGCUAAGGAAAAUAGCUUUCACAGUUUCUCUGUGUUCAAUUGUUUUUUUUUUUUGGCUCAUAUUUUGUGUACACGGGUGAACAUGGAGAUCAACAAAGCAACUAGAGAAUCUAUGUUAUUUAGAGAGCCUUAUCUUUGUAUUUGUAAGUCGUCUUGGACUCUUAUGUCUAUGAUCGAGAGCUGUGACAUGUAAUUGGGGGUUGUUAUUUCGAAUUUCAUAUGGCUCCUGCUUUUUCUUCUUCCUCUUCCCAUCUCCAUUUCCUGUUUCUAUUUCAUUUAUAGCAUGCAAAGAACAGAUUCAUUUAGCCCAGUAAGUCACCUUCUAUUUUGGUCUUCUAUCUUACUUUUGGUUGACUUUUCAGAUAAAAAAACUAAUUUGACCACCAUUUCAUCUGCAGGUUCCUUUAUAUGCGACAACGAUCUUCACAAUCAUCACCUAUGACUCCGAAGUGGUGUUUUUGUCAUGUUGCAGGAUGUCUCUCUAAUAGAAGUUAAAUGAGGACAUUUACAUGAUACUGUUUAGAAGUUGCAGCUUUUUGUUCCAUUUUAGCCUAAUUAGUACACGAAUCAAUUGAAGAACAUCAAAGGCUUUGAGGGAAUCCAAGGUACGUAAGAAGAUGGCUGAACAUCCCCCCAUUUGCAUAGUCUGCACCUUGCUUUACGCAAAAUUCACUCUUAUGAGGUACCUAAUCCUAGAAGCAAAGAAUUGGAUGUCUGUCUGAGCUUGACAACCUCAAUUGUUCAAGGAUACUUUUUCAGGUCAUAGAGCAUCCUUGAAAAAGAUGUAAUCUAUAGAUGGAUGUAAUGAAAGAUGCUUGAUUCAUUUAGCAUGCUGCAACUUUCCAAGGGAGUGUUGCAUGCUGCAGGGUGUGAAUUCAUUUGUUAAUGGAUUGAAAGAUCUUAAGAAGGCAAUUUGAUGAAACAUAUUUAAGAAAAUAUGCAAUGUUUGCAUUAUGUGAUUGAGAUUAUAGAUUGAACUUUUCUAAUA